UGAAGAAGUUUCUGUAAGCCUUAGCUAAUUUUAUUCUUCCUGAUUGGGGGAAAAAAAAAGUCUUUUACUGCAGAAUUUCCCAUUUAGAUGCCCCCAGUUAAUUACACUUGCCAGAAUCCACAGCCAGCACAAUACCUUUGUAGCUGGAUCACUUAUCAGCUGAGGCCAAAUAAGACUUUGGACUUUAAAUACAACAGGAAUCGUAAGAUAACUGUUGUAACCAGCAGGGGUAGCUUCCUAGAGGUGCUGAAAGUAUUUUGGAAGGCAUUCAUUCACCUGGAAUUUAGACCAGGUGAUGACACCUGAAUUAAUAUUAUUCUAAAGAGUACCAUCCUUAUCACAUCCUUAGGAACUAAUUUUUCUGUAAUCAGUUUCAAGUUUCAAAUUAGGAGACUUCUAUAUUCAAUUUAUGCAGACAGUUUUUGAUAAUUAUUAUUAGCAGUGAAAAAAAAUAAGUCUAGCACGUGCAUUUUCAUUUUUCAAGAAAGAAGCAGCAUUUUAUUUUCUAAUGCAGUUCACUACUUCUUGAACUUCUUCUGACUUCUUACUGCUACCUCUAGCCCAUAAGUCCAGUACAAAUUAUUCUGUGCUGCUGAAGAGUAAUUAUUUCACUCAUGCGAACUCAUAAGGGGGUCAGACUUCAUUAAUGCUAAUCUAUUUUAAGCAGAUGUUAAAGCAAAUUAAUUUUCAAGUUUAAAUAAAAAAGGUUUUAAAUAUAGAUCAGCAAUAUCUAAGAAACUAGUAAAAAGCAUAGUGCUGCUCUUGUUGAACUCAGCAGCAAACAUAUCCUCAGGACUUGGACAGAUGAAGAAUCAGAUCCUUUCAUUUUUUCUUUGGCUAAGUGGCCCAGAUUUGGUGGUGUCUUACAUGUGUGAUGUGGGAGAAAGACAUUUGUCAUCCCUAGGAACACAGUUUAUGAAACUCACAUCUGUAUAAGGACAAAGUGAUUAUUUAAUAUUUUAACACUGUCAUAAGAUUUUAUCAUUAGUACAAUUUCACCGAAAUAAAAAUUGAAAGA
ensembl:lncRNA